rnacentral:misc_RNA from 1 species
GAUGAAGAACGCAGCGAAAUGCGAUAAGUAAUGUGAAUUGCAGAAUUCAGUGAAUCAUCGAAUCUUUGAACGCACAUUGCGCCCCUUGGUAUUCCGAGGGGCAUGCCUGUUCGAGCGUCAUUAUAACCCUCAAGCUCAGCUUGGUGUUGGGGCCUGCUGCACUGGCAGCCCUUAAAAUCAGUGGCGGCGCCAUCUGGCUCUAAGCGUAGUAAUUCUUCUCGCUAUGGAGUCCUGGUGGAUGCUUGCCAUCAACCCCCAAUUUUUCUAUGGUUGACCUCGGAUCAGGUAGGGAUACCCGCUGAGUUUAAGCAUAUCAAUAAGCGGAGGA